rnacentral:lncRNA from 1 species
UGGACAUUCUGUAUUUCCCGGGAGGCUAACAUUCGGAACGUGGGACAGAAUUGAGAACUCUGUGACUCAGAGCUGGAGUCCUGAGGGCUGAUGUCACACAGCCUGCGUCCUGCUGAGUCUGAGGGGCCCGGCGGGGGCUUGUCCAUUCUCGAGCUCUGGCCGAAGACGGCGCUUCUGAGAGUCAGGUCUCCAAACCUGCACGCCAGCUCUCCCUAAGAGGACAGCAAGCUCCCUCUCCGGGGUCAGAGGGGUGAGGAAUGUGUUAUUGAAGGGUCUUGUUCCCUAAAAUUAUUAUUUUUUUUUUUUACCGUAUUGUGCCAUUGGCCUCAGGCAGCUCAGGACGGCUGGACUCGAAGCGUGCUCACCGUUUGGACUGUGUGCGUUUCUCUCGGAGCAAUCUUCUCCCCUGUUAUUGCUAAGCCUCUGAGAGGACUGGCUUCUCAAGGCUCAGAGAGUUUGAUUAACCCAAUUGCUUAUUCCAGGUGGGCGCUUGGCGUCAAGAUGAUUAAGAUGAUUGAUUUAGAGACUAUGAUUGCCAUUGGCGGCGGCUUACUGAUCGCGGCCUUUCUGCUGAUGUGCUGUGUCAUCUGUCUUUACUGCAAAGUGGCCAACACAUUGAAGUGAAUGACGUGAGUAAGAGUGAAUAGCACCCCCCUCAAAUGGGAUUCCUGGGGCUCUCUGCUUGAGCAGGGCCAUUCCUUGCCCUGUGGCCACACCCUGGGUGAGGUCAGCAACAGCAGGCGGUUUGAAAAGGCAAAGGCAGGUGCAUAGAAUCUUGGCUUCCUCCCCUUCUGGCUUGGGGCUGUGAGCUCAUAAGCAGAGUGUUCUCAGCGGGCGGCUCUGUGUGUCACGGCUGCUCUGCUGUCCCUUGACCUCACUGAGGUGACCCCCAGCUGGUUAAAUCAGCGCUGCGGCUGGGCCCUCCUGCUGCCCCAGGCUGCAGACGGGACUUCGGGGAAGGCAGCUUCGUGUUCACACAGAGCACGGGCUGAAUCCGUCUCCUCUGGCCUGAGCUGGGGAGCCCUCAGUGUGUCCUCUCACUCACUGCCAUGGCCUUGGGGUCAGGGAGGAAAAUAUGACAGCCAGCGGCAUCGACACAAAAGGCAGGCGCCUCGGUUUGGAAGAAGGCCGUCCUGGGACAGCCGCCUCCUCGCCCUCCGCUGCCAGGCACCUAAGGACAAGCUUCCGAGAGCCGCGCUGUGCCGAGUGUCGUCAAAAGAGGGGUGCGCUCCCCUGCAGCGCCCCAGCCCUGUCUGGGAAGUACAGACUCGCCCCGUGCAGCUCAGUGGCCUCCUGACUGUUCUUUCCAGGUGUUCUCGGGCCCCUGAGGGCAGGAGCGGUGCUAGCUCUGAUCCCAGGCACGAGAGAGGGCCUGGAGCUCAUCAGGUGUCGGGCAGUGACUCCAAUCACAGCUUCGCAGUGCGGGCACCCUCUCCACCAGGUGGACCUCGGAACGCAGACACAGCAGUAACCUUGUGAACAAUGCUGAACAAUGUUAUUUUGCUUAUUGAUAGGAAUGUGUUGCACAGUGCUUAUUAAUCACACACACUAAGCUCUUGCUCCUGCUCCAGGAUGUUGUAGAAGCACUUUCCUGAGUUGCAGUGGAAACAUCCAGGAGGCAACAGUUCAAACCUAUCAGCAGAAAGUAGCCCAGCUCCCUGACCACGUGAGCCUCUGAGCCACCCAUGACCAGCCGGGUUCCAUCUCUGUGCCCGGCAGACAGCCUCUUCCUCCGAGUCUAGUCUGCCUCCGGACCGCCAGGUGCUGGAGCUCCAGAUGAAGGCCUGGGGCCCUGGGGGACCCCACUACGUGGAGGGUCGGUCUGACACUCCUGUGUGAACACCCGUGUCUACAGCUCCUGCAGCUGAGUCAGCCCGUCUAGAUCUGACUCCUGACUAACCUGUGAGUGGC